CACAGGUCACAUGUCCAAUGAGACAACUUUACCCAGUUGGUAAAAACCAACACUUAAUGUCAUCCAUAAUCCACCGUUCUCUGGUCUCUUCACUGAUAUCUUCCUACUUCUCAGACGAGGUAGAUGUCCUCCUUCCUGACCACAGAGCUGCAGUGCAGGGCUGAUACCUUUAACACUUCCUACUUUUAUAAUCCAGAUAUGGAUUAAAAUUAGGGCUGAGCGAUAUGACUGAAAAACAUAUCACAAUAUAAGCCUUUCAUAUCAAUUGAUCAUUAUUUAUUUAUUUAUUUUAAAUAUCUGAAAUACUGACAACUGGUUACAUUUUCUGUUUUAUUUACAGUUUCCUCUCUAGCUUGCUGUUGCUCAACAGGUUGUUGCUAGGUAACCAAUAAGUGAUCUUAGCUGGCUGUGACAGGUUGAGCAGCUAAAGCCUUCCCCCUGCCUACCACACCCAGAAUGCCAUGCAGUUUCGAAUCACAUUUUAAUGAAAUUACACAUAGUUCCUAAAAGUCUAUGGCAGAAGUGAUCUGCUCCAUCUUAGGCAAGCGCAGCACAAGGCAUAGCGGACCCAUAAAAAAAAGAAAAGUAAGUUGACACUCCUGACCAAUGUGUGAGAGAAAUAUACAUGAACAAAAUCGCUGCUGUCCAGAUCAACCCGUAUCAGACGGAGAAGGAAAACACGACAGACAAUGUUGCGCACGAUUUAGAAUCAUAAAAGAAUCAUUAUUCUGGUGUUAACAACCCGUGAGGACGGCUCACGAAAGAAAACGACAACAAAAUAACACAUAAGAACUAAUUCUUGUACUUUAUAUCUAACGGUUAACGACUGAUCACCGAAAAUAAGCAUUUAAACUAAACAGACCUUGUGAGCUGACGUCUAGGAGGGGCUAUGCUGGUUACAGCAGUAAUUAGUUUUAACUCUGGUGUCUGACUCUUUCAGAAACUUUACUGAGAUCUGGUCACCUCAGUGAAAACCCAAAUACACCCUGGUGGAGUAUCUGCAGCACAACCACUGAAUGCUGGGAAAUGUGCCACAUCAAGGCUGUUGUGGAACGUUUCUGUAAUUACCAUCUGUCUUCGACUUCAAACCUCUCAGCUGACCACGGGAAGCAGGGGAUACAUUCUGAGCUGGCCUGGCUAUUCCGAUGCUGUUCGCUCGAUUCAAAUCUGGCUUCACAGCUCUGUCUGGGCUUUCUCCCAUUGACUUUGAUACCCUCCGAUAACAUUUCUACUUGGCCAAUCAGCGAACACAACAUUUUUUGAAUGAUGACGAUUUUCUGCUGUUUUAGAAUUGUAGUGUGCUUGUAGUUUUAGUGAUGGCAGCAGAGAAAGUGAACAAAGCCAUUCAGUCCGUGUUGAUCACGCUUCCAAAUAUUGAAUU